rnacentral:rRNA from 1 species
UUGCACGCUGGCGGCAGGCUUAACCCAUGCAAGUCGCGCGGUAGCACAGGGGAGCUUGCUCCCUGGGUGACGAGCGGCGGACGGGUGAGUAAUGUCUGGGAAACUGCCUGAUGGAGGGGGAUAACUACUGGAAACGGUAGCUAAUACCGCAUAACGUCGCAAGACCAAAGAGGGGGACCUUCGGGCCUCUUGCCAUCAGAUGUGCCCAGAUGGGAUUAGCUAGUAGGUGGGGUAAUGGCUCACCUAGGCGACGAUCCCUAGCUGGUCUGAGAGGAUGACCAGCCACACUGGAACUGAGACACGGUCCAGACUCCUACGGGAGGCAGCAGUGGGGAAUAUUGCACAAUGGGCGCAAGCCUGAUGCAGCCAUGCCGCGUGUGUGAAGAAGGCCUUCGGGUUGUAAAGCACUUUCAGCGAGGAGGAAGGUGGUGAGCUUAAUACGUUCAUCAAUUGACGUUACUCGCAGAAGAAGCACCGGCUAACUCCGUG